AUUACUAUAAAAUGACCGGCGGAAUGUAGCGUCGAUCUCGGUGGAAGUGUUAUAGCCUCUGGUAGAUGUAGUGAUUGGGACUGAGGAUUGCAACGAAUAUCCUUUGGGCUAUCCGUCUGAUCUCUGAUAGUUGCUCAGGUGCCGAAAGCGUGCUUACGGUUAUCUAAGUUGACGGUCAAUAGGUUAGAACGUGAUUACAUUCGUUAAGGAUGUUGGCGUAAUGGCUUUAAACGACCCGUCUGGAAACACGG
rnacentral:rRNA from 1 species